rnacentral:rRNA from 1 species
GACGAACGCUGGCGGCGUGCCUAAUACAUGCAAGUCGAACGCAGUGGGGACGGGUGAGUAACACGUGGGUAACCUCCCAUCAGAGGGGAUAACACUUGGAAACAGGUGCUAAACCGAUACUGAUGGAUGGACUCGCGGUGCAUUAGCUAGUUGGUGAGGGAAAUGCUCACCAAGGCCACGAUGACUAUCCGACCUGAGAGGGUGAUCGGCCCCACUGUGACUGAGACACGGACAAGACUCCUACGGGAGGCAGCAGUAGGGAAUCUUCGGCAAUGGACGAAAGUCUGACCGAGCAACACCGCGUGAGUGAAGAAGGUUUUCGGAUCGUAAAACUCUGUUGUUAGAGAAGCGGUAUCUAACCAGAAAGCCACGGCUAACUACGUGCCAGCAGCCGCGGUAAUUC